CGUAUACGGUGGAUGCCUUGGCAGUUAGAGGCGAUGAAGGACGUGUAAGUCUGCGAUAAGCUGUGGAGAGCCGACAAAAUGCUUUGACCCACAGAUUUCCGAAUGGGGAAACCCACCGCUUCGGCGGUAUCUUAUAGUGAAUACAUAGCUAUAAGAAGCGAACGAGGGGAACUGAAACAUCUAAGUACCCUUAGGAAAAGAAAUCAACAGAGAUUCCCCUAGUAGCGGCGAGCGAACGGGGAGCAGCCGAGUAGUAAUGAAGUAGUGGAAUGUGUUGGAAAGCACAGCGAUACAGGGUGAUAGCCCCGUACACGAAGCGUCAUUAUUGCCAUAUUAAGUAGGUCGGGACACGUGUUAUCUUGACUGAAUAUGGGGGGACCAUCCUCCAAGGCUAAAUACUCCUAACUGACCGAUAGUGAACCAGUACCGUGAGGGAAAGGCGAAAAGAACCCCUGUGAGGGGAGUGAAAUAGAACCUGAAACCGUAUACGUACAAGCAGUGGGAGCCCUUCGGGGUGACUGCGUACCUUUUGUAUAAUGGGUCAGCGACUUAUAUUUAGUAGCAAGGUUAAGCGAAUAGCGGAGCCGUAGCGAAAGCGAGUGUUAACUGCGCGUUUAGUUGCUAGGUAUAGACCCGAAACCGAGUGAUCUAGCCAUGGGCAGGUUGAAGGUUGAGUAACAUCAACUGGAGGACCGAACCGACUAACUUUGAAAAGUUAGCGGAUGACUUGUGGCUGGGGGUGAAAGGCCAAUCAAACUCGGAGAUAGCUGGUUCUCCCCGAAAGCUAUUUAGGUAGCGCCUCGGACGAAUACCACAGGGGGUAGAGCACUGUUAAGGCUAGGGGGUCAUCCCGACUUACCAACCCUUUGCAAACUCCGAAUACCAAUGAGAACUAUCCGGGAGACACACGGCGGGUGCUAACGUCCGUCGUGGAGAGGGAAACAACCCAGACCGCCAGCUAAGGUCCCAAAAUAUUGCUAAGUGGGAAACGAUGUGGGAAGGCAUAGACAGCUAGGAGGUUGGCUUAGAAGCAGCCACCCUUUAAAGAAAGCGUAAUAGCUCACUAGUCGAGUCGGCCUGCGCGGAAGAUGUAACGGGGCUAAGCAAUAUACCGAAGCUGCGGCAGCAUAGUUUACUAUGCUGGGUAGGGGAGCGUUGUGUAAGUGGAUGAAGGUGAGUUGUAAAGCUUGCUGGACAUAUCACAAGUGCGAAUGCUGACAUGAGUAACGAUAAGGGGAGUGAAAAACUCCCCCGCCGGAAGACCAAGGUUUCCUGUCCCAUGCUAAUCAGGGCAGGGUAAGUCGGCCCCUAAGGCGAGGCAGAAAUGCGUAGUCGAUGGGAAACGGAUUAAUAUUUCCGUACUUAUAUAAUCAGUGAUGGAGGGACGGAGAAGGCUAGGCAAGCUUGGCGUUGGUUGUCCAAGUGAAAGCGAGUAGGCCGAGAAUUUAGGUAAAUCCGGAUUCUUAAAGCUGAGACGCGAGACGAGCUCCCAAGGGAGUGAAGUUGUUGAUGCCCUGCUUCCAGGAAAAGCUUCUAAACUUAUGAUUAUAUGAACCGUACCCCAAACCGACACAGGUGGU
rnacentral:rRNA from 1 species